rnacentral:rRNA from 1 species
UACGUAGGGUGCGAGCGUUAAUCGGAAUUACUGGGCGUAAAGUGUGCGCAGGCGGCCGGGCAAGUCGAGUGUGAAAGCCCCGAGCUUAACUUGGGAACUGCGCUCGAAACUACUUGGCUAGAGUGUGGCAGAGGGAGGUGGAAUUCCACGUGUAGCGGUGAAAUGCGUAGAGAUGUGGAGGAACACCGAUGGCGAAGGCAGCCUCCUGGGCCAACACUGACGCUCAUGCACGAAAGCGUGGGGAGCAAACAGG